UACGUAGGGGGCAAGCGUUGUCCGGAAUCAUUGGGCGUAAAGCGCAUGUAGGCGGUUCGGUAAGUCCGCUGUGAAAGUCGGGGGCUCAACCCUCGAAUGCCGGUGGAUACUGUCGGGCUAGAGUGCGGGAGAGGCGAGUGGAAUUCCUGGUGUAGCGGUGAAAUGCGCAGAUAUCAGGAGGAACACCAAUUGCGAAGGCAGCUCGCUGGAACGUAACUGACGCUGAGACGCGAAAGCGUGGGGAGCAAACAGG
rnacentral:rRNA from 1 species